CUUCUUCUUAAGCCACAAAUAUGCCAAUAUGACGAUGACAAGCCAAGCCGAAAAACCUGAUGCUACUAAAAUGGCCAACAUAUCUUUCCUUCUAAGAAAAUCAUUUGAUUUUUGGGCCAUUUCAGCUGUAUUAGCAGGGGAAAAAGUUAACAUUAUUACAACAAGGAGGGAAAAUAAGUCAAAAGGCAAGGUAUAAUAAUAGAAAAAAAGCAUAGACAAUUCAUGCAGGGCUGUUUAUCCAAUUUGUCACCUGAUAAUACAAAUUGGUGUUGCUCAAAAUUUGUUACCGGAAAGUAUACGUUACCUAACUCAACUGCAUCAACACGAACAUGAAUAUCAUAUCCUUCUUUCUUAUUUUGUACAGUGUCCAUCAAUUCGCCAUACCAUGUCAAACAA
rnacentral:misc_RNA from 1 species